rnacentral:rRNA from 1 species
AUUGAACGCUGGCGGCAUGCCUUACACAUGCAAGUCGAACGGUAACAGGUCUUCGGAUGCUGACGAGUGGCGAACGGGUGAGUAAUACAUCGGAACGUGCCUAGUAGUGGGGGAUAACUACUCGAAAGAGUGGCUAAUACCGCAUGAGAUCUACGGAUGAAAGCAGGGGAUCGCAAGACCUUGUGCUACUAGAGCGGCCGAUGGCAGAUUAGGUAGUUGGUGGGAUAAAAGCUUACCAAGCCGACGAUCUGUAGCUGGUCUGAGAGGACGAUCAGCCGGACUGGGACUGGGACACGGCCCAGACUCCUACGGGAGGCAGCAGUGGGGAAUUUUGGACAAUGGGCGCAAGCCUGAUCCAGCAAUGCCGCGUGCAGGAUGAAGGCCUUCGGGUUGUAAACUGCUUUUGUACGGAACGAAAAGCCCCGGGUUAAUACCCUGGGGUCAUGACGGUACCGUAAGAAUAAGCACCGGCUAACUACGUGCCAGCCGCCGCGGUAA